UAGCAACGGAUAUUCCGUUGCUAAACCAAUUCAGAAAAAAAAAAAAAAAAAACAUGUUUGCAACGGAUUAACCGUUGCAA
rnacentral:sRNA from 1 species